UUCAAGUUAUUAAUACUCGAAUAGGUAAAUUCAAGUCGAGCUCUAAAAAUUUGAGCAAACUAAACUUGAAUUAAUUUUAAAUUAAUUUCAACUUUACCAGUAAUACCAAAUACACAACAACAGAGAAAUCUCAGCUGCAAAGAUAUGGAGGAAGAAGAAGAUGAAUUUUCUUCAAGGAAACAUGAGGAACAUCUACGCUUGUCAAGAGGGGCGAAGAAUUUUCUUGUUCACUUCCAUGGUAGGGUAUUUAUACUUUGAAUUCUGUAUUAAAAGCGAGAGCUUUUCUAAGUCGAUGAUUUGGCUUACAAGGGAAAAGGAGAAGCAGAAAUCUACUGGAAUUCUUCAAAGAGAGCAUUUGCCUUUAUUCCACCGAAUAAAAAUGUUUCCACUGAAGAUGAUUUGAAUGUCAAGAAUGGGAAAAUCGAAGGAGGUACUAAAUCUGAGAUUCGGGUUUCGAUUGGGAACUGGAAGGAUGAACCUUCGUUGGCUUCUUGGGCGACAAAAGAAGGUUAUUCACUUAACCUUUACGCCUACUAAAAUCUAGUUUCUUUCUUUUUCUAUUUCUUGAAUUUUUUUUUUCUCGGGAAAAUUUAUAUUCCGUCAUUAUGUUCGAGGCAGAACUUGAGUGUCUUUAGUUUUAAAAUUUGCACAUUGUAAAUUGCAGUAGCGCUUUCACUUUGGAUUAACAAGACAAAGCUCUGAGAAUUUCAUGCAAUUUUCCUUCCAAACCUAAGAAUCCUUAUUCUCCAUAUAAAAUUUUUAUCAAUCAGUGAAUCUAGAUGAACCAAAAGUAGAGUGAAAUCCAAACAAACACAGAUCAUAAUAGUUGCUGUUGCCCAAUGAACCAGUAGUAGUGGAGUACAGUUAAUUAAAUAGUGUCUCACAAAUACAGAAAAUAUUGAAAGAUCAUAUUUGAAUUUCUAAAUUUAUUCAAACACAAUAACUCAAUAAGACCCACAAGCAUUGAAUGGAGUUACCUAGAAACAAGUUCUAAUACACUUACAAUUCAUUGAGUUUAGAACAUUUCCUUCAUCAAAUCAAAUACUCCACAUAAUUUGAACAGAAAAUUCAUCACCUUUCUCCUUGAUCCACACAACACUUUCCAUAGUUGGAGCUGCAUGCAAUCAUAUCCUUUCCAUUGAGUAAGACUUCUCCCAUAACUUUGAGGCCAAGAAUCACAGUUUACCCAAGAAUGAACCACCUGAAAAAAAAAAAAAAAAUCAAUUUAAUUCAACUGAGGAAUAGAAAGAAAAACGAGUUCAUAUUAGCCAUGGGAUAUGUGUGUUUGUUAACACAAAUAAAUAAUAAUAAUAAUAAUAAUGAUAAAUUAAAAAUAAUAUUUUAAAUUUUGAAAUUUCAAAUAUACAGAAUUAUACUCUUUUAUUGAUUUCACUUUUUGAAAACAUGAUUUAUCUUAAUUUUGUUUUAUUUCAACUUUAUAUACAUUUUGACUAAUUUAUAUGAUUAUAAUUCUUAGACUUAUUCUAGUCAACUUGAGAUUUUAACAAUAAUGAUCUCAAUAUCAUGUUAGCAUAAUAUAGCCAUACAUCAUAAAUAAUUUGAUAUAAUUGAAAUGAAACUAAUAAUUUAAAUUUAAUUAUUUUUUUGAAAAUAAUAUAUAAUUGAAAAAAAAUUAGAUCAUUAAACAUUCUUUUUAAUAUAUAGUUGGCAGUCACAUAUAUACAAACUAAUUUAAAAAGACAUUAUCAUUUAAAUAUAUUACUUAUGUAAUUAAUUAUAAGCAUUCAACUAUCUGUUAAAAUAUUUAUUAGGUAGAAUGUGUGUAACAAAAAGUGCUGUGUCUUAACAAUAAAAGCAAAGUAAUGUGUUCCUUGCCUUUGAUGAUGUCAGGCGAGUAGUGUUAGAUUGUCGUGGAAACUGAGAUGGAGGAUAUGUGUUUCACCUUGUCAAAAUCCUCUCCUUCAACUCCAUGUAUCACUUGAAUUUUCCUUGCAAAUUUUUUUUUCAUGUUAAUGACUUUCAGUUCUCGGAGUUUGGUGAUGAAUUCUAUUCCUUCUGGGAUUUUCUCCAAUUCCUGCAGCUUUUCUAAGUGCAAAAUCUUGAGGCAAGGCAUUGCACCCUCCUCUAUUUUCCAUUCUUGUACUCCAAGCCCUUCAAGUUUAAGAGUCUCAAGUUGAGGGAA
rnacentral:lncRNA from 1 species